rnacentral:rRNA from 1 species
GACGAACGCUGGCGGCGUGCUUAACACAUGCAAGUCGAACGGAAAGGCCCUGCUUUUGUGGGGUGCUCGAGUGGCGAACGGGUGAGUAACACGUGAGUAACCUGCCCUUGACUUUGGGAUAACUUCAGGAAACUGGGGCUAAUACCGGAUAGGAGCUCCUGCUGCAUGGUGGGGGUUGGAAAGUUUCGGCGGUUGGGGAUGGACUCGCGGCUUAUCAGCUUGUUGGUGGGGUAGUGGCUUACCAAGGCUUUGACGGGUAGCCGGCCUGAGAGGGUGACCGGCCACAUUGGGACUGAGAUACGGUCCAGACUCCUACGGGAGGCAGAAGUGGGGAAUAUUGAAAAAUGGGCGGAAGCCUGAUGCAGCAACGCCGCGUGCGGGAUGACGGCCUUCGGGUUGUAAACCGCUUUCGCCUGUGACGAAGCGUGAGUGACGGUAAUGGGUAAAGAAGCACCGGCUAACUACGUG